UACGGAGGGUGCGAGCGUUGCUCGGAAUCACUGGGCGUAAAGCGUACGCAGGCUGUCUCGUAAGUCGGGUGUGAAAGCCCGGGGCUCAACCCCGGAAUUGCGCCCGAGACUGCGGGGCUUGAAUGCGGGAGAGGGAAGCGGAAUUCCUGGUGUAGAGGUGAAAUUCGUAGAUAUCAGGAGGAACACCGGUGGCGAAGCGG
rnacentral:rRNA from 1 species